GAGGCGAAGCCGUGAGGCCAAGCAAAGCCCAAAAAUGGCGUCUCAGUUCGGAUUGUAGUCUGCAACUCGACUACAUGAAGCUGGAAUCGCUAGUAAUCGCAGAUCAGAAUGCUGCGGUGAAUACGUUCCCGGGUCCUGUACACACCGCCCGUCACACCAUGGGAGCCGGGGGGGACCCGAAGUCAGUUGCCUAACCGCAAGGGGGGCGCUGCCGAAGGUAAAACUGGUGAUUGGGGUGAAGUCGUAACAAGGUAGC
rnacentral:rRNA from 1 species